CAGCCAGCUUGAAGGAGUCCCUUUCCAACCAGCCCGCUCCCCUCCCGCCCCUCCCUGCCCCCAACGGGUGUUUGCCCAGCGGCAAAGCAGGCUGUUCCAGGUUUGGCCAAAGUGUCUGGGGCUGAUUGCAAUGAAUCUCACUCCGGUUCGAGUCCAUAACCCCAGGAAGUUGACGGUCUCUCCAGUAACAUUUGGCAACUUGGAGAAGAAUCGCCCCCUCCCAGUUUCCCUCGGAGCCGGUUUUCAGAAACCCUUUGGCUUUUGACUUUAAAGCGCCUCGCGUUGUUCCCAAGCCUGGAUUCUCUGCGUAUCGCACCAGCAACUCCUGUGCUUUGGUUUCUAAUUCAUUCAUUCCACAACUCAUUUGGGGCUCCUAUGACUAGGACGCGAAGGAAGGGGGAAUAGUAAGAAAAAUGCCAUAAUGCACAGACACAUCCUUACACACCUCACGGGAAUUGCAGAAUGUGGGAGCGUGGGGGCAUGAAGUGGGAGGCGAUGAGGGUCUGAAUAAAGCAACCUAUAGCCUCUUAUUUUGAGAGUCACCAUCACCGGAGAGAAAUCUUUCAAAUCCACUGGCGGGAAGGUGCCGGAGCCUGGGAAUGGAGACCCAGAUAGAGACUGGCCUCUGCGGAGAAAGCCGGUGAGGCACCGGCUUUCGGUUCCUGGAGCGCUGGGCCUUGGCUCAUCCUGGAAUCUAACACUUUGCUCCCCCCUCCUUUAAAUUUUUUUUCCCUUUCCUUCCCACUCACCCCUCCUUUUCCCCAAAGCUCUCACCGAAGUCACGACUCUCCCCUUUGAACAUCCUUAACCCCCUCCUCUCCGCCUCCCUCUCUGCAUCCAGGGCGGGUCUAUCUGCAGCUGGCGCCAACCCCGCCCCCUGGCGCUCGGAGCUGAACUCGCGGAGGACCAAGGAAUUUUCAGCACCUGCCUUCUAUGGACAGCUACCGCGCCCUGAGCCAGCCGGGGCCAGGGUCGCAGUCCUCGGGCUCCAGGAAGGCUCCAGGAACCGAACGAGUAAAGUUUGUCAAAGGAA